GGUUAAGGUUUUUCUCUGACAUUUUAUUAGACUUUAGAUGAAUCUAGAUGUAAGAAGGUUUCUGAAUAGUUGUUGGUGUUUUUUUUACUUUGAGGAUCCCUGACAAACUAGAGAGUGAUGAUUUUUUAUUAGGGCUUUUAUUAGGGCUGAAAAAUUUGGGUGCAAUUUAGAUUUAUCAGAAUUAACAAUAGAAGACAGGUAUCAGUGGAAGGAGGAGUGAUAAUACAAUUGUCCACGGUAAUCGUAAACUAGUAGGGUAGUCUCUGAAGAAUCUAAGUCAAUAUUAAUGUAUUGAUCUCAGAUAUUACAUAGUAUUUGAAUAUUUAGAUUUCAAGUACCUUCCAAAUAAAUUCUAUAGAACCAUUGCCCAGUGAUGCUGUAUUAUUGAAGUACCGUAUAUACUCGAGUAUAAGCCGAGUUUUUCAGCACAUUUUUUGUGCUGAAAAACCCCAACUCGGCUUAUACUCGAGUCAGUGUCUGUAUUAUGGCAAUUUACAUUGCCAUAAUACAGA